CAAGUCGAACGAGAAAUGGAGCAAUCCAUGAGUACAGUGGCGUACGGGUGAGUAACACGUGGGUGAUCUACCCUUUGGUGAGGAAUAACCCUGGGAAACCGGGGCUAAUACCGCAUAAGCUCGAGAGAGGAAAGCAGCGAUGCGCCGAAGGAGGAGCCCGCGGCCGAUUAGCUAGUUGGUGGGGUAAGAGCCCACCAAGGCAGAGAUCGGUAGCCGGCCUGAGAGGGCACACGGCCACACUGGCACUGAAACACGGGCCAGACUCCUACGGGAGGCAGCAGUGGGGAAUCUUGCACAAUGGGGGAAACCCUGAUGCAGCGACGCCGCGUGAGCGAUGAAGCCCUUCGGGGUGUAAAGCUCUUUCGGCAGGGAAGAUGGUGACGGUACCUGCAGAAGCAGCUGCGGCUAACUACGUGCCAGCAGCCGCGGU
rnacentral:rRNA from 1 species